CUUGACUAAUUAUAAGAGGUCCAGCCUGCCCAGUGACACUGUUCAACGGCCGCGGUAUCCUAACCGUGCGAAGGUAGCGUAAUCACUUGUUCUUUAAAUGAGGACUAGUAUGAAUGGCACCACGAGGGUUAUACUGUCUCCUUUCUUUAAUCAGUGAAACUAAUCUCCCCGUGAAGAAGCGGGGAUAAUUUUAUAAGACGAGAAGACCCUAUGGAGCUUUAAACAAGUAAUAAUUGCCUUUAUUAAUUUUUAAUCUACGGAAAUUUACCCUCUUAUCCAGGCACUCUAAUUACACGUUUUAGGUUGGGGUGACCGCGGAGCAUAAAAUAACCUCCAUAGUGAACGGGUAUUAUUCCCUAAACCCAGGGCUACAACCCUAAGCAUCAAUAAAUUGACACCCAUUGACCCAAUAUUUUGAUCAAUGAAC
rnacentral:rRNA from 1 species